rnacentral:lncRNA from 1 species
CCUGUGGAUUCAUAGUUAUCCUAUAAUAACAGAAUACUUUCUUGCAUUCUAUUGCGCUCCCUUGAGAAAGAGAAAAAGCAAUUAAGACACAGCUGCCAUGCAGGGAAUUGCAGAAGCCCAGCCUACUUUGUCUGUGUCACAUACUGAACUGGAAUAAUGGCUCAGAAUGCCAGUGUCAGGAGAGUGGGGACUUUGUUUUGUUCACUGCUGUGGCCCCAGCGAGCAGACUAAUAUCUGGCAUAUAACAGACGCUCGAUACACAUUUGUGGAAAGAAGGGAGAAUUGGACAGUCUCCUUUCUCCUGGAGACACACAGGUAUUUCUUUCUCAACCUCUCUGCCUGAGAAGCAUGAUAUGAGGGUAGGAGAAUAGAUUUUAGAGCUAACAAAGCUGCUUGGUUUCAGAUCUGUCCUUUAUUGGGUGUGCCACCUCAUCUGACUUGACUGAUUUUGCACUCUUCAUGUUCUUCUGUAAAAUAAACUACCAAUAUUUACUUCAUUGUGUUGUAAGAAUUAAGUAAUAUGAAAUGCGUGGAAAUUCAGGGUAAGAAACAUUAAAUAAACGAUUUAUCAUUAUUAUUCUUUUUACCACAUGAGGUUAGUUAUGACCAAACUGUAUUUGUAGCUUCUGCAUCAGGAGAAAGUGAUGGAUGUUUCCCAAUACUGAGAGAGUCUUUGGGAUGGAAGAAUGAACUGUUCAGGUUAGUCCUAUGGGAAAGUGCAGAUUUGAGAAAUAGAAAUUUAUGCCAAGACCAGGGCCUUUCUCCACCUAAAUUUUAUUAGACAUGGGUUAAGUUGGCUCUGAUUAAAGGGAACAAUCAUUUUGAUCAGUUUGGCUCAAAUAACUCUUCAUUUCAGGUGAAAAAAAAGCCAAAUGGUUUCUAAGAGAAGAAGCACAGUAGACUAGAUAGAGCCCGAAGAAUUAGGAACUCUAGCCUCAACUCCCUAAAUGCCUUGUGGAAUUAAUUUUCUCAUCUGUAAAAUGGGUAUGAAAAUCCCUGCCUUCUCUCUUACUUAGGGCUGCUGGGAGGGCUGUGUCAGAGAAUGGACUGAAAUGUCCUAUAUUAACCUUUGGAACCCUGUACCUUUCUUAGAGGCUACCAUUUUUUUUUUUUGGGGAAUUUAGUCUGGUCAAUUAGUGACUGAGAAUGGCCAAUCCUGGUAAAGACUAAGGCAUGAUGGCAGGCGAGAAUGUGAGAGCGUGGUAAACACAUGACACACCGAUUUUUUGCAGUAUCGCCUUUUAGACCAUGAAUGGUGCUUCCUGCUGCAGAUCUGAGAAAGCAUGGGAACAAACACCCCCAAUCCAAGAGAAAGAGGGAUGCCUUACUCUCUUGCAGGAAAAAUGCCUGAAGCUUCCGGGCUGGAAGCAGGAGAGUUAAACACUGUUGCUCAUGGAGAAAUCAAUACCAGCCUCAGUUCUGUUCUGAAGAAUGAGACAGCUCUGUUCCAGUUGGGGUGGGAUGUGUGAAGGAUGUGAUAGCCUGUUCGGGGCCUAGCUUGGCCAGCAAUUGGUAAGGAAGCAACUUGAUAACCCCAGAUGACUGUGACAGUGAAACCCACCGGGGACUUGAAAAUGAGAAUGUCAGUACAUUGCUUUUAUUUAUCUUUUUCUUAAAGACAGAAGGGGAAAAGUUUUAAGGCAAAUAUUGUCUUGAAAUGAUGGAAUGUUUUCAAAAUCUUUGCUGUUAAACUAGCCCAAGAUCUGGGCCUGGCGUACAUCGGAUAGCUUCAAGCAGGUUUUGACUAUGGGAUCAUAUGUUGAUCAGAGAAGCCCAGUAGAUGAUACAGAUAAAAGUGGAC